rnacentral:rRNA from 1 species
AGCAGCCGCGGUAAUUCCAGCUCCAAUAGCGUAUAUUAAAGUUGUUGCAGUUAAAAGCUCGUAGUUGAAUUUCGGGAUUGACACAUCGGUCGUGCCUUAAGGGGUAUGAACUGGUGUAGUCAAUUUCUCACCUUCUGGAGAACCGCAAUGCCCUUAAUUGGGUGUCGCGGGGAACCAGGACCUUUACUUUGAAAAAAUUAGAGUGUUUAAAGCAGGCAUUUUGCUUGAAUACAUUAGCAUGGAAUAAUAAAAUAGGACGGCAUGAUUCUAUUUUGUUGGUUUCUAGGAUCACCGUAAUGAUUAAUAGGGAUAGUUGGGGGCAUUAGUAUUCAAUUGUCAGAGGUGAAAUUCUUGGAUUUAUUGAAGACUAACUACUGCGAAAGCAUUUGCCAAGGAUGUUUUCAUUAAUCAAGAACGAAAGUUAGGGGAUCGAAGACGAUCAGAUACCGUCGUAGUCUUAACCAUAAACUAUGCCGACUAGGAAUCAGACGAUGUUAAUUUUUUAAUGACUCGUUUGGCA